AUUGAACGCUGGCGGCAGGCUUAACACAUGCAAGUCGAGCGAGCGGCGGACGGGUGAGUAAUGUCGGGGAAACUGCCUGAUGGAGGGGGAUAACUACUGGAAACGGUAGCUAAUACCGCUAAACAUCAGAUGUGCCCAGAUGGGAUUAGCUAGUAGGUGGGGUAACGGCUCACCUAGGCGACGAUCCCUAGCUGGUCUGAGAGGAUGACCAGCCACACUGGAACUGAGACACGGUCCAGACUCCUACGGGAGGCAGCAGUGGGGAAUAUUCCACAAUGGGCGAAAGCCUGAUUCAGCCAUGCCGCGUGUGUGAAGAAGGCCUUCGGGUUGUAAAGCACUGUCAUCGAGGAGGCGUUACUCGCAGAAGAAGCACCGGCUAACUCCGUGCCAGCAGCCGCGGUAAUAC
rnacentral:rRNA from 1 species